rnacentral:lncRNA from 1 species
AGCUUCCCUCCUGAGCGACAGCUCACCUUGUGAGCUCUGAGAGUUGUGUUUGGGUGGCUCCACCAAACUGAAGUUCUCUAAAGCCGUAUCUUUGGAGAGUAAGAAGGGCCUCCUUGUGCAGAUUUGGGAAUUAGCCACACGUAGCAACCACCGAAGCCAGAAAGGAGGCGUGAGUUUUCAGAGCGAAUGAGAAAGGAAGUCAGCCAUGGGGGGGGUGCCUGAUGGGCGCAGAGGGCGUCUGUUGGGGUCUUUCUGAGCAUGUGCAGCUCUUCCUGCGUCCAGAUUGGGGAGGGUGUGGCUGCUGAGCCCAAGGGUAGGAGGAACUUUAGGAUAAUGGAAAAAGGUUCCAUCCCGCCCCCAACAAGGCCAUAGGGCCGCUUCCCCAAGCCAGUUGGCCUGUAGACAGGAUGCCCCCAGAGCCUGACCUGUGACAGGACAGCUCUCCUGCCCCUUGUGGCCAGGCCUGGGAGAACCACUGCCACCUAGCCUCCCAGGAACCUGGACAGGGUGCAGACCAACUUCCCCCACCCCUCAGGUGCCAUAAGCAGAGAUAGGAAGCCCUCAACCCCCCACCUCUCAGCCCAGACCAGGUCUGUGUCCAGGGUCCUGGGAGCAGCACAGAAGGCUUAGACACUCCCCCGGGCAUUGCCACAGGCCAGAUGGGUGCUUGGACAAGUUGCCUGCUUCACACAAAGCGGGGCCAGGCCCCACCUGUCAGAAAAAGCCUCUGAGGACCAAGCUGUGUCCACCAGAGAGGUGUCGGUCAGUUGGAAACCGUCAGGAGCUGAUUGUGUCUUCUUCCUUGUGUUAGGAGAAAAGCAGCCUCCCAAACAGACAAGCCGGCUGAUAAAAAGGAAGACGAAAGCCAAACGGAAGAGCCGAGCACUUCUCCGUCUCCAGGGACCCGAGCAGCCAGCCAGCCCCCCAACUCCUCAGAGGCUGGCCGGAAGCCCUGGGAGCGGAGCAGCUCGGCGGAGAAGCCGGUGUCCUCAUUGCUGUCCAGAACCCCGUCUGUGGCAAAGAGCCCCGAAGCUAAGAGCCCCCUUCAGUCGCAGCCUCACUCUAGGUACCGAACAGCCCCAUCUGUGGGGCCUCCCUUGUCCCCUGCCCAUGACUAACACCCGCCCGUGUCCUGUCUAACAGUUUGCUCUGGGGAAGGGUGGUCUGUGCUUUGUUCAGACCUGGGGACAGGUAGGGCUGGGGGGCUGAGGAUGCUGCAGGCCAGCUCCUUCCUGUCAUCUUGUGGACAGAGCCUGAGGUCCGGGGAGGGGGGUGGCCUGUCUGAAGAGGCAGUUAAGUGGAGCUGGGGUGAACCCCAGCUCUGGCCUCACUAACUGUGACAUCGGGUGAGCCAGGGGACCUCUCUGAGCCUCCACUCCUGCCCCCACCCCACAAAGAGGUCUGUUCCUCCCUCCCUUACAGGGCGGGCAUGUGGACAGCUGUGCGGACAACAGCUGGACACAGGAAGUAGUCACUAGCCAUGGCAGCAUCUCCCAGCUCAAAAUCCUGGGACUGGCCCAGCACCCUGCCUCCUCUCCUUCCUUGGCACUUUUCCCCAGAGAUAUGUGACCAUAUUUCCCAAACCAAAAGCCGAUGUGAGAACAGGAUAGGGUGUUUGAAACUCAGAUCACUCAGCAGAGAGGCAAUCACAGUAACCAUGGGCCAGGUGUGGCCUGAAUUUGCAGGUGUUUAGAACCUGUGCAAAAAUGUCUCCAUUGCCCAUCACAAAUGGAAGAGAAAUGGUCCUGAUUCCAGAGCAGCAAGCAUUUGGGCCUGGUCUUGCUGAGUGAGGCAGGGUGACCAGAGAG